CGGGAAUUUUACAGUGCUGGCAUAUUGUUUGGGCCGUAAUUUCAUCUGGUGCUUAUUGUCCACCCUGCUCAGUUAGAUAGCAUAGCUGAGCAGGACCCAAGAGGAGAGAGAAUUGAAGCUGACUGUGGCAUUGGGGCUAAUGCAAUUAAUGUCCUGACUGUUUCAGCAGCUUUUGGGGCCACAAUAGAGAGGCAUUCAGAAAAUCCCCGAAGAAAUAAUGUGGCCUACUCUCUGACUCCUGGAGGAUAUAGAAGAGAAUUUAGGAGCCAACAUGGAGGAAGUAGCUCCAUGAAGGAAAAGUCUUUCAGAUCUCUCUCACCAGCCAUAGUUGAAAAACACAGUGAGUAUA
rnacentral:lncRNA from 1 species